rnacentral:rRNA from 1 species
GACGAACGCUGGCGGCGUGCUUAACACAUGCAAGUCGAACGGAAAGGCCCUGCUUUUGUGGGGUGCUCGAGUGGCGAACGGGUGAGUAACACGUGAGUAACCUGCCCUUGACUUUGGGAUAACUUCAGGAAACUGGGGCUAAUACCGGAUAGGAGCUCCUGCUGCAUGGUGGGGGUUGGAAAGUUUCGGCGGUUGGGGAUGGACUCGCGGCUUAUCAGCUUGUUGGUGGGGUAGUGGCUUACCAAGGCUUUGACGGGUAGCCGGCCUGAGAGGGUGACCGGCCACAUUGGGACUGAAAUACGGCCCAGACUACUCCGGGAGGCAGCAGUGGGGAAUAGUGCACAAUGGGCGGAAGCCUGAUGCAGCAACGCCGCGUGCGGGAUGACGGCCUUCGGGUUGUAAACCGCUUUCGCCUGUGACGAAGCGUGAGUGACGGUAAUGGGUAAAGAAGCACCGGCUAACUACGUG